UUAUGGUUGCUGGAGGCAAGUUCAGCGAUGUCUUUGCUUUUGGACACAAGGACGCGAACGCUGUCGCGGAGUUCGUGAGGCUGGAGACUGAGAGCGGGCACGCAAUCGAACUCUCCGGACAGCACUUCAUCCUCGUAAAGGGAGAGCUGGUUGCGGCGAGGAAGGUCCACAUGG
rnacentral:SRP_RNA from 12 species